rnacentral:rRNA from 1 species
UACGGAGGAUGCAAGCGUUAUCCGGAAUGAUUGGGCUUAAAGCGUCCGCAGGUGGCUGUGUAAGUCUGCUGUCAAAGAGCGAAGCUCAACUUCGUAAAGGCAGUGGAAACUACACGGCUAGAGUGCGUUCGGGGCAGAGGGAAUUCCUGGUGUAGCGGUGAAAUGCGUAGAGAUCAGGAAGAACACCGGUGGCGAAGGCGCUCUGCUAGGCCGCAACUGACACUGAGGGACGAAAGCUAGGGGAGCGAAUGGG